rnacentral:rRNA from 1 species
AACGAACGCUGGCGGCGUGCCUAACACAUGCAAGUCGAGCGAGAAAGUCCCCGCAAGGGGAUGAGUAAAGCGGCGAACGGGUGAGUAACACGUGGGCAACCUGCCCUUCAGUCGGGAAUAACCCAUCGAAAGGUGGGCUAAUACCGGAUAAUGUCCUUUGGGGGGCAUCUUCGGAGGACCAAAGGGGGCGAGCGAAAGCGGCUCCCGCUGAGGGAUGGGCCUGCGGCUGAUUAGCUAGUUGGUGGGGUAGCGGCCUACCAAGGCAACGAUCAGUAGCCGACCUGAGAGGGUGACCGGCCACACUGGGACUGAGACACGGCCCAGACUCCUACGGGUGGCUG